ACACCGAAACACAGAGGACAGAGUUAGCCCAAACUACCCUCCUAAUCCUAACCCCCACACAUUUUCUACUAGUCCAGUGUGAAUAGUACUAGUUCAGUCUGAAUAGUACUAGUCUGAAUAGUACUAGUCCAGUCUGAAUAGUACUAGUCUGAAUAGUACUAGUCCAGUCUGAAUAGUACUAGUCUGAAUAGUACUAGUCCAGUGUGAAUAGUACUAGUCUGAAUAGUACUAGUUCAGUCUGAAUAGUACUAGUCCAGUCUGAAUACUACUAGUCCAGUCUGAAUAGGACUAGCCCCUCCCACCACCACCUUCCAUUGGGGUACAGGUGACCCCUGCAGAGUGGGGACACUCCCCUCCUACCUUCCAUUGGGGUACAGGUGACCCCUGCAGAGUGGGGACACUCCCCUCCUACCUUCCAUUGGGGUACAGGUGACGGCUGCAGCGUGGGGACACUCCCCUCCUACCUUCCAUUGGGGUACAGGUGACCCCUGCAGAGUGGGGACACUCCCCUCCUACCUUCCAUUGGGGUACAGGUGACGGCUGCAGAGUGGGGACACUCCCCUCCUACCUUCCAUUGGGGUACAGGUGACCCCUGCAGAGUGGGGACACUCCCCUCCUACCUUCCAUUGGGGUACAGGUGACCCCUGCAGAGUGGGGACACUCCCCUCCUACCUUCCAUUGGGGUACAGGUGACCCCUGCAGAGUGGGGACACUCCCCUCCUACCUUCCAUUGGGGUACAGUUGACCCCUGCAGAGUGGGGAAACUCCCCUCCUACCUUCCAUUGGGGUACAGGUGACCCCUGCAGAGUGGGGACACUCCCCUCCUACCUUCCAUUGGGGUACAGGUGACCCCUGCAGAGUGGGGACACUCCCCUCCUACCUUCCAUUGGGGUACAGGUGACCCCUGCAGAGUGGGGACACUCCCCUCCUACCUUCCAUUGGGGUACAGGUGACGGCUGCAGCGUGGGGACACUCCCCUCCUACCUUCCAUUUGGGUACAGGUGACGGCUGCAGAGUGGGGACACUCCCCUCCUACCUUCCAUUGGGGUACAGUUGACCCCUGCAGAGUGGGGACACUCCCCUCCUACCUUCCAUUGGGGUACAGGUGACGGCUGCAGAGUGGGGACACUCCCCUCCUACCUUCCAUUGGGGUACAGGUGACCCCUGCAGAGUGGGGAAACUCCCCUCCUACCUUCCAUUGGGGUACAGGUGACCCCUGCAGAGUGGGGACACUCCCCUCCUACCUUCCAUUGGGGUACAGGUGACGGCUGCAGAGUGGGGACACUCCCCUCCUACCUUCCAUUGGGGUACAGGUGACCCCUGCAGAGUGGGGACACUCCCCUCCUACCUUCCAUUGGGGUACAGGUGACCCCUGCAGAGUGGGGACACUCCCCUCCUACCUUCCAUUGGGGUACAGGUGACGGCUGCAGAGUGGGGACACUCCCCUCCUACCUUCCAUUGGGGUACAGGUGACGGCUGCAGCGUGGGGACACUCCCCUCCUACCUUCCAUUGGGGUACAGGUGACGGCUGCAGCGUGGGGACACUCCCCUCCUACCUUCCAUUGGGGUACAGGUGACCCCUGCAGAGUGGGGACACUCCCCUCCUACCUUCCAUUGGGGUACAGGUGACGGCUGCAGAGUGGGGACACUCCCCUCCUACCUUCCAUUGGGGUACAGCUGACCCAUGCAGAGUGGGGACACUCCCCUCCUACCUUCCAUUGGGGUACAGGUGACCCCUGCAGAGUGGGGACACUCCC